UACGAGUGCCUCAAGCGUUAUCCGGAAUUAUUGGGCGUAAAGGGCUCGUAGGCGGUUUGUCGCGUCGGGAGUGAAAACCUCGGGCUUAACUCGGGGCUUGCUUUCGAUACGGGCAGACUAGAGGUAUGCAGGGGAGAACGGAAUUCCUGGUGUAGCGGUGAAAUGCGCAGAUAUCAGGAGGAACACCGGUGGCGAAGGCGGUUCUCUGGGCAUGAUCUGACGCUGAGGAGCGAAAGUGUGGGGAGCGAACAGG
rnacentral:rRNA from 1 species